GUUUCCAGGGGGAGCUCCAAGUCCACAGAGCAAGGCAUGUCUCUUCCAGCUUCCGGCUCUCUCAUUCAAAACUCUGGCUUCCAACUACCAGCCAGCUAGGAUUCUACUCUAUGUGGGGGCAGCAUGCUCCAGUGGCUAGCCUUGGACUGGGGAGAUCCGGGUUCAAAUCCCCACUCAGCCAUGAAGCUCACUUCCUCCUUGGGAUCAGCGACCUAGGUCACAGGGUUAUCGUGAGGAUAAAAUGAGGGCAGGAAGAGAACCAUGUAAUCUGCUUUGAGCUCCUUGGAAGAAAGCGUGUGCUCAGCAACCUGCUCUUAAGGGGCAGUUCUGGAAGUCUGUUUGGAAAAGAAGGCAGAGGGGCUGCUUAACAGAAGUUCAGAGGAGGCCUACAUGCUUGUUUUAAGCCUGUUUUCAAGAGUUACAGAUUUA